GCGUACUCCAGUUCUGGUCGUACGCAACAAGUGUGUCCCAGAUGCUUUAGAACGCUAACCAGUCCCGUGGACCCAUGAAGGAUCUGCAACUGUUUUUGGAGGUGACCCUGCAGGAUGUCAUCAACGAACCCAAGGUUAACGCAUGCGAGGGCACAUCUCUGUUCAAGCAUGUUGUG